UACGUAGGGUGCGAGCGUUAAUCGGAAUUACUGGGCGUAAAGCGUGCGCAGGCGGUUUUGUAAGCCGGAUGUGAAAUCCCCGGGCUUAACCUGGGAAUGGCAUUCGGGACUGCAAGGCUGGAGUGCGGCAGGGGAGACUGGAAUUCCUGGUGUAGCAGUGAAAUGCGUAGAUAUCAGGAGGAACACCGAUGGCGAAGGCAGGUCUCUGGGCUGACACUGACGCUCAUGCACGAAAGCGUGGGGAGCAAACAGG
rnacentral:rRNA from 1 species